GAUGAACGCUGGCGGCGUGCCUAAUACAUGCAAGUCGAGCGAACAGACGAGGAGCUUGCUCCUCUGACGUUAGCGGCGGACGGGUGAGUAACACGUGGAUAACCUACCUAUAAGACUGGGAUAACUUCGGGAAACCGGAGCUAAUACCGGAUAAUAUAUUGAACCGCAUGGUUCAAUAGUGAAAGACGGUUUUGCUGUCACUUAUAGAUGGAUCCGCGCCGCAUUAGCUAGUUGGUAAGGUAACGGCUUACCAAGGCAACGAUGCGUAGCCGACCUGAGAGGGUGAUCGGCCACACUGGAACUGAGACACGGUCCAGACUCCUACGGGAGGCCGCAGUAGGGACUCUUCCGCAAUGGGCGAAAGCCUGACGGAGCAACGCCGCGUGAGUGAUGAAGGUCUUCGGAUCGUAAAACUCUGUUAUUAGGGAAGAACAAAUGUGUAAGUAACUAUGCACGUCUUGACGGUACCUAAUCAGAAAGCCACGGCUAACUACGUG
rnacentral:rRNA from 1 species